ensembl:snRNA U6 U6 spliceosomal RNA
GUGCUUGCUUCAGCAGCACACAUACUAAAACUGGAAUGAUACAGAAGAUUAUGAGCAUGGCCCUUGUACAAGGAUGACACACAAAUUUAUGAAGUCUUCCAUAUAUAU